GAUGAACGCUGGCGGCGUGCCUAAUACAUGCAAGUCGAGCGAACGGACGAGAAGCUUGCUUCUCUGAUGUUAGCGGCGGACGGGUGAGUAACACGUGGAUAACCUACCUAUAAGACUGGGAUAACUUCGGGAAACCGGAGCUAAUACCGGAUAAUAUUUUGAACCGCAUGGUUCAAAAGUGAAAGACGGUCUUGCUGUAACUUAUAGAUGGAUCCGCGCUGCAUUAGCUAGUUGGUAAGGUAACGGCUUACCAAGGCAACGAUGCAUAGCCGACCUGAGAGGGCGAUCGGCCACACUGGAACUGAGACACGGUCCAGACUCCUACGGGAGGCAGCAGUAGGGAAUCUUCCGCAAUGGGAGAAAGCCUGACGGAGCAACGCCGCGUGAGUGAUGAAGGUCUUCGGAUCGUAAAACUCUGUUAUUAGGGAAGAACAUAUGUGUAAGUAACUGUGCACAUCUUGACGGUACCUAAUCAGAAAGCCACGGCUAACUACGUG
rnacentral:rRNA from 1 species